rnacentral:rRNA from 1 species
UACGUAGGGGGCAAGCGUUGUCCGGAAUCAUUGGGCGUAAAGCGCGUGUAGGCGGCCAGAAAAGUCCGCUGUGAAAACUCGAGGCUCAACUUCGAGCUGUCGGUGGAAACUUUCUGGCUAGAGUCCGGAAGAGGAGAAUGGAAUUCCUGGUGUAGCGGUGAAAUGCGCAGAUAUCAGGAAGAACACCCGUGGCGAAGGCGGUUCUCUGGGACGGUACUGACGCUGAGGUGCGAAAGCGUGGGGAGCAAACAGG